GAACAACGGGGUCGGGGCGGCAUAAAAUGGGGGGGCCAGCCGCCAUAAGGGGCCCCGCACGCACGCACGCACAUACAAUCCCAGCAAGCGCCCCGCAGCCUGGCCCCGGGAAUAAGGGGCGCGGAACCUCGCACGGGUAUCGAACUGGGGUGAUCCUGGCCCCGGCGGCGGCGAAAUAAGGGGUGAGCGGCCUGAGCCGAGGCAGCGUGCGGCCCGCCAAGCCCCGGACCACCAAAACAAACAGCAGCAGACCCAAGCCCCGCGCUGCCGCCUUUCUCCCCGCUCCCCGGGCCUCAGCCUCCCCCGUGGCCCUGCAGCCCAGCGCCGGCACCCCAGGACCCCCCCCAUCCGGUACGCCGCCCCAGGGGUGCCCAGGGCACGCCGCAGCCGCCGAGAGCUCCGUUACAAGACAGCGGCGUUCAAAUUCGGAGUGCGCCGCUGAGCCAGUGUUGUGAGCCGUGCAUGACAUGAGCCAGGCCAGGGCCGGGCCUGAGAGCAGCAGCAGCAGCUAGUUUGUGGGCUUGGGCUAUGCCCUUUGGCGAUGGUGUGCUGAGCUGCCCCGCCCUGCCCCGCUGCCUGGCCUGACAACCCAAUCUAUGCCAGUCGGCCCUGCACCACCCCAUCCCUGAACCACGGGGGGCGCACACCACACCCUAGCCUACCCCCCCCAGCCACCCGAGCCCCCCCCCACCAUGGACCGCUACCCCAGCUGUCAGGAGAAGUACUACGAGUACGAGGAGUGGAACAAAGUCUUCAACCGGGACAAGGACGUCAACUACGUCAAGGAGGAGGAGCCCAACGCCCCGCGGGGCAAGAAGCUCUUCGAGUGCCCCGAGUGCAGCAAGUGGUUCAGCAGCAAGGGCAACCUGCAGCGCCACUGGAUCACCCACACGGGGGAGAAGCGCUACGAGUGCGAGGAGUGCAGCAAGCCGUUCGCGCAGAAGGGCCACCUCAAGGCACACAAGCUCAUGCACACCGGGGAGAAGAAUUUCGAGUGCGACGUGUGCGGCAACCGCUUCAUCAGCAAGGGCAACCUGCAGCGGCACAAGCUGACCCACACCGGGGAGAAGCGGUUUGCCUGCGAGGAGUGCGGGAAGCUGUUCAUCCAGAAGGGCCACCUCAAGACCCACAAACUGAUGCACUCCGGGGAGAAGCGGUUCGAGUGCGAGGAGUGCCGGAAGCGCUUCUCCAGCAAGGGCAACCUGCAGCGCCACCGCUUCACCCACACCGGGGAGAAGCGAUUCAAGUGCGAGGAGUGCGGCAAGCAGCUCACCCAGAAGAGCCACCUCAAGUCACACAAGCUCAUCCACUCCGGCGAGAAGAGCAACGAGUGCAACGAGUGUGGGGAAUACUUCAUCAGGAAAGCCGACCUCAAAUCCCACAAAAUAUCACACGACGCUCCAAGAAUCUUUCAACGAUGGUGAGGGGAUGGUGAAGGUGGUGCGCCCCAGCGGUGAGGAUGGUGGAGGUGAUGCGUCCGCCUCAAGACAGAUCUCUCCUCCUCCUCCUCCUCCUCCUCCUCUCUGACAGUAAUGGUGAUACUGAUGGUGAUGGUGAUGGUGGUGGUGGUGGUGGUUGGCUGCGACACACAUUGACAACACCAGCAGCCUCCGUGGUGAUGGUGGUGGUGAUGGUGACAGCCUCUCGCACCAAAUAUUGACUGAUAGUGAUGCGAUGGUGACCGUGAUGGUGACUCAAUGCCCAGACACCCUUCACCUUGUCCCCUUGUAUGGUGAAACGGUGCAUCAAACUCAAGGUGAUAGUGACUUGAUUGUGAAUGAUGGUGAUGGGAUGGUGACUCAACGCCCAGACACCCUUCACCUUGUCCCCUCGUAUGGUGAAAUGGUGCACUCAAGGUGAUGGUGAGCUCUUGAUAGAGAAUGAUGGUGACAAAGCACACCCUGACACUCAUCAACUUGUCCCUGUGUAUAGUGAGAUGAUGCGCAGGUGAUGGUGAGCUCUUGAUAGUGAAUGAUGAUAUAAUGAUGGUGAAACAGCUUGCACACAGAUGAUGGUGACAACAUAUUCACACCCCCUCCAAAAUGUCCUCUUGUAUAGUGAGGCACCAAGCACACACAUGAUGGUGAGUGCCUGAUAGUGACAUGGCAAUGAUGAUAGUGACAACACACCCCAACACCCUCCAACUUGUCCGCUUGUAUAGUGAGGCACCACAUAUACAAAUGAUAGUGACUGAUUGUGGUGCACUCACUGUCCUAUCACCACAGCCCUGAUAGUGAGUACAGUACGUCCAGAUAUGCUUCACCAUCACCCAAGAAUAGUGAGACAAGAGCUACACAAGAUGGUGAUGGUGGUGAUGGUGAACUCAAAAACGCCAAACAGCACUUUCAGAUACGUUCCACCAUCACUAUACGUCCAGAUACAGUUCACUAUCACCCCAAGAAUAGUGAGACAAGACCAUAAAACACAGAAGAUAGUGAGGUUAUGGUGAGCAAGCUAACACUACAUAACCUCCAAGAUACAUUUCACCAUCACUAUACGUCCAGAUACCUUUCACUAUCACCCCAAGAAUAGUGAAACAGGAUCAUAAAACACAAAAGAUGGUGAGGUUAUGGUGAGCAAGGAAGGGGACACCACACAGCAUCUCCAGAUAAGCUUCACCGUCACCCCAGGAAUAGUGAAACAAGACCAUAAAACACAAAAGAUGGUGAGGUUAUGGUGAGCAAGGCAGGAUACACCACACAGCACCACCAGAUAAGCUUCACUGUCACCCCAGGAAUAGUGAGAAGAUGGUGAGGGUGGUGGUGAUAGUGAACUCAACACCACACACUACCUCCAGUGAGCUCACUAUCACUCACUCACUCUCCCAGCUUGGUCAACUUCAUCUCCACCCCUGACUCAAGCUGAAACCAAGCUGGGGUUGAUCUAGGUCAUGUCUUUCAAGCGUAGGACCUGCCAGCCACAUCCACUCAAGCUGAAAUCCAAGCUGAGGUUGCUGCAGAUACUGUCUCCAUUACACAAGCUUAAAAAAAUAACAUAUCAGCUUGAAAAAUCCCUCCAGCCACAACCCAAGCUUGACUCACCCAAACCCAAGUCAAGCUAAAAUUCAAGCUGAGGUUGCUCCAGAUAGUGUCUCCAUAAUACAAGCUUGAAAAUACCAGAAAUCUAUCAGCUUGAAGAGUCCCCCACAGCCACACCCAAGCUUGAUUCACCCAAACCCAACUCAAGCUUGAUUCACCCAAACCCAACUCAAGCUUGACUCAUCACACACAACACAAGCUUGACUCACCACACACAACACAAGCUUGACUCACCA